rnacentral:rRNA from 1 species
UACGAAGGGGGCUAGCGUUGCUCGGAAUCACUGGGCGUAAAGCGCACGUAGGCGGAUUGCUAAGUCAGGGGUGAAAUCCUGGAGCUCAACUCCAGAACUGCCUUUGAUACUGGCGACCUUGAGUCCGGGAGAGGGAUGCAGAAUUCCAGGUGUAGCGGUGAAAUGCGUAGAUAUCUGGAGGAAUACCGGUGGCGAAGGCGGCAUCCUGGACCGGCAUUGACGCUGAUGAGCGAAAGCUAGGGGAGCAAACGGG